rnacentral:rRNA from 1 species
GAUGAACGCUGGCGGCGUGCUUAAUACAUGCAAGUCGAACGGAGACGUUAUAGCAAUAUGAUGUCUUAGUGGCGAACGGGUGAGUAACGCGUUGGUGACCUGCCCCGAAGUGGGGGAUAACAGCUCGAAAGGGCUGCUAAUACCCCAUGUGGUCGCGAAGGUUAGAGGCUUUGCGAUUGAAGGAGUAAACCGCUUUGGGAGGGGCCUGCGUCCCAUCAGCUAGUUGGUAGGGUAAAAGCCUACCAAGGCGACGACGGGUAGGGGGCCUGAGAGGGUGACCCCCCACACUGGCACUGAAACACGGGCCAGACACCUACGGGUGGCAGCAGUAGGGAAUAUUGCACAAUGGGCGAAAGCCUGAUGCAGCAACGCCGCGUGCGCGAUGAAGGCCUUCGGGUCGUAAAGCGCUUUUUGGGGAGAUGAGGAAGGACAGUAUCCCCAGAAUAAGGUUCGGCUAACUACGUGCCAGCCGCCGCAGUAACAC